rnacentral:rRNA from 1 species
UCCCCGGCUUAACCCUGGAAACUGCAUUGAACUGCCAGGGCUUAAUUCUUGUAGAGGGGGGUAAGAAUUCCAGGUGUAGCGGUGAAAAUGCGUAGGGAUUCUGGAGGAAUACCGGUGGGCGAAGGCGGCCCCCCUUGGACAAAGACUGACCGCUCAGGUGCGAAAAGCGUGGGGAGCAAACAGGAUUUAGAUACCCCUGGUAGUCCACGCCGUAAACGAUGUCGACUUGGAGGUUGUUCCCUUGAGGAGUGGCUUCCGGAGCUAACGCGUUAAGUCGACCGCCUGGGGAGUACGGCCGCAAGGUUAAAACUCAAAUGAAUUGACGGGGGCCCGCACAAGCGGUGGAGCAUGUGGUUUAAUUCGAUGCAACGCGAAGAACCUUACCUACUCUUGACAUCCAGAGAACUUAGCAGAGAUGCUUUGGUGCCUUCGGGAACUCUGAGACAGGUGCUGCAUGGCUGUCGUCAGCUCGUGUUGUGAAAUGUUGGGUUAAGUCCCGCAACGAGCGCAACCCUUAUCCUUUGUUGCCAGCGAUUCGGUCGGGAACUCAAAGGAGACUGCCGGUGAUAAACCGGAGGAAGGUGGGGAUGACGUCAAGUCAUCAUGGCCCUUACGAGUAGGGCUACACACGUGCUACAAUGGCGCAUACAAAGAGAAGCGACCUCGCGAGAGCAAGCGGACCUCACAAAGUGCGUCGUAGUCCGGAUCGGAGUCUGCAACUCGACUCCGUGAAGUCGGAAUCGCUAGUAAUCGUGGAUCAGAAUGCCACGGUGAAUACGUUCCCGGGCCUUGUACACACCGCCC